rnacentral:misc_RNA from 1 species
AAGUCGUAACAAGGUUUCCGUAGGUGAACCUGCGGAAGGAUCAUUAACGAAUAACUAUGGUGUUGGUUGUAGCUGGCUCCUCGGAGCAAUGUGCACGCCCGCCAUUUUUAUCUUUCCACCUGUGCACCGACUGUAGGUCUGGAUACCUCUCGCCUCCCUUCUCUUAGGGAGGCGGAUGCGGGGAUUGCUCGCAAGGGCUCUCCUCGAACUUCCAGGCUCUACGUCUUUUUACACACCCCAAUAGUAUGAUCCAGAAUGAUAGUCAAUGGGCUUUCAUAGCCUAUAAAACACUAUACAACUUUCAGCAACGGAUCUCUUGGCUCUC